GCGGGGUUAGCUCAGCGGUAGAGCAUCUGCCUUACACGCAGGGGGCCACUGGUUCGAAUCCAGUACCCCGCACCA
rnacentral:tRNA from 1 species